rnacentral:lncRNA from 1 species
AUGACCGAUGUCCUUAUGGUGGACGUGAAAAUUGAGGAAGAGGAAACGACCUCACCAGCACGUCUCCAGGACGUGAUCCCGACGGUGCUGGUGAGGGAUGCUGAAAACGUCUCUGAGGGGAGGUUUGUGAGACAAAUGGCAUAUGUCUCAACCGGGUCCUUUGAAAAUAUCCAACUGCCACCAGUCAUUAAGGAAGAGAGUGGAGACAAGAUUACUGAGCUCCCUGAGCUGGACAGUGUCACCACUCCCUGCCAGGACCAGGAUUCUUCCCUCGGCGAGACCGGACAUCCUGUUGGCGAGGCAUCUGUUGGCGAGGCGUCUGUUGGCGAGCCGUCUGUUGGCGAGCCGUCUGUUGGCGAGGCGUCUGUUGGCGAGGCGUCUGUUGGCGAGGCGUCUGUUGGCGAGGCGUCUGUUGGCGAGCCGUGUGUUGGCGAGCCGUGUGUUGGCGAGCCGUGUGUUGGCGAGCCGUGUGUUGGCGAGCCGUGUGUUGGCGAGCCGUGUGUUGGCGAGCCGUGUGUUGGCGAGCCGUGUGUUGGCGAGCCGUGUGUUGGCGAGCCGUGUGUUGGCGAGCCGUGUGUUGGCGAGCCGUGUGUUGGCGAGGCGUGUGUUGGCGAGGCGUGUGUUGGCGAGGCGUGUGUUGGCGAGGCGUGUGUUGGCGAGGCGUGUGUUGGCGAGCCGUGUGUUGGCGAGCCGUGUGUUGGCGAGCCGUGUGUUGGCGAGCCGUCUGUUGGCGAGGCGUCUGUUGAAGAUCUGCGGGGAAGACAAGAACGUUUUAUCCGCUCAGACCCCAAACUCCAAGCCGGUCUGACGUUAAUUUGUGUUCGUCUCCAGAGAGUAGACAUUCCAGUUGAACCUGAUGCUUUGAAUUUAGAGUCUAGGACUUUAACAACGCCUAAAAAGCAUAGGAGGCCACUCAAAAGAAAGCGUCUCAGAAAGUAA